UACGUAGGGUGCAAGCGUUGUCCGGAAUUAUUGGGCGUAAAGAGCUCGUAGGCGGUCUGUUGCGUCGGCUGUGAAAACCCGGGGCUCAACUCCGGGCCUGCAGCCGAUACGGGCAGACUAGAGUUCGGCAGGGGAGACUGGAAUUUACGGUGUAGCGGUGAAAUGCGUAGAUAUCGUAAGGAAGACCAGUGGCGAAGGCGGGUCUCUGGACAGUUCCUGACGCUGAGGCACGAAGGCCAGGGGAGCAAACGGG
rnacentral:rRNA from 1 species